UUCCGCUUACUGAUAUGCUUAAGUUCGGCGGGUAGUCUUGUCUGAUCCGAGGUCGGAGUAAGAAUG
rnacentral:rRNA from 1 species